CCGCAGCUGAUAAGUACUGGAAGGAUAAAGAUUUUUUAAAACAAAUCAUCACAUGGGCCCUAGACUACACCGAGCAAGAAGACGUGACAGCAGCGUUGAUAGGAAUGAGGCAAAGGAAGAAAAUACGGAUUUUUCCUCCGUCUCCACGGACUGGUACCAAUAAAGAAAGUGUCAACUCGAGGCGGGUAAUAGACUGCGUAGAAUAGUUAUUUGGUGUAAGCUACUGCCACUGCUACUAACUCAUUUAAA